rnacentral:misc_RNA from 1 species
GGAAGAAAAGUAAAGGGAAAAGGAAAGCGUAAUUUUAGCGAAACUGUUGUAUUUUCGUGUAUGAAAGAUGUCAUUGAAGAACAUUAUAAAAAUAUUACUGAACCACUGCAACUGGUUUCAAGAGUGAGUCGCUGGCUUGCUGGUGCAGGGGAUCGAGAGGGUGGUCGAGUUGGGCGCUCCACGAAUGCAUGAAGUUCCUUUGAACACGUAUUACAUUGAACAAAUGCGUUUUCCUGCAUUACAGUUGAUCUGUUUUUUUUUUUUUAAUUUUUUUAUUAUGGUAAUAAAUAAUCAUAUAGGUGUUUAGUAAACACCUUUAGCAGAUUGAUCCAAAUCCGUUACCCGGAGUUCUGAUAUUUUUUUUUUUUAGUAACCGCCUGUGAAAUCGAAAAAAGAGAUCCAUUUGCAGACCUAAUUCUAUUUCAUUAAAAUAAUAUCUAUUAUCAGAUUCGAAAUGAUGAGUAUUUUGCGAGAUAAAGAUCAUAUACUCGUUUACGAAUCUGUACUUUCAGGGUGAGUCGAAUAGAAAUCCCGUUUUCACUAAUAGGUAAUUAGAAGCUACGAUUUGCCUUAGAAAAUUCGAUUUACCAUGUGUAAUAGAAAUUCCUUCUUUCAUUUCAAAGACUAACUUUUUUCGAUGUGGUGGCAGAAGAAAAAAUCGAUUUUUUUCAAACAGUAC